rnacentral:rRNA from 1 species
UACGUAGGGAGCAAGCGUUGUUCGGAUUUACUGGGCGUAAAGGGCGCGUAGGCGGCAAUUCAAGUCAUCUGUGAAAUCUCCGGGCUUAACUCGGAACGGUCAGAUGAUACUGCUUUGCUAGAGUGCGGAAGGGGCAAUCGGAAUUCCAGGUGUAGCGGUGAAAUGCGUAGAUAUCUGGAGGAACACCGGUGGCGAAGGCGGCAUCCUGGACCAUUACUGACACUGAAAAGCGAAAGCCAGGGGAGCAAACGGG